AGAGUUUGAUCCUGGCUCAGGACGAACGCUGGCGGCGUGCUUAACACAUGCAAGUCGAGCGGUAAGGCCUUUCGGGGUACACGAGCGGCGAACGGGUGAGUAACACGUGGGUGAUCUGCCCUGCACUUCGGGAUAAGCCUGGGAAACUGGGUCUAAUACCGGAUAUGACCUCCUAUCGCAUGGUGGGUGGUGGAAAGAUUUAUCGGUGCAGGAUGGGCCCGCGGCCUAUCAGCUUGUUGGUGGGGUAAUGGCCUACCAAGGCGACGACGGGUAGCCGACCUGAGAGGGUGACCGGCCACACUGGGACUGAGACACGGCCCAGACUCCUACGGGAGGCAGCAGUGGGGAAUAUUGCACAAUGGGCGAAAGCCUGAUGCAGCGACGCCGCGUGAGGGAUGACGGCCUUCGGGUUGUAAACCUCUUUCAGCAGGGACGAAGCGCAAGUGACGGUACCUGCAGAAGAAGCACCGGCUAACUACGUGCCAGCAGCCCGCGGUUAUACGUAGGGUGCAAGCGUUUGUCCG
rnacentral:rRNA from 1 species